AAAUUGAAGAGUUUGAUCAUGGCUCAGAUUGAACGCUGGCGGCAGGCCUAACACAUGCAAGUCGAGCGGUAGCACAGAGAGCUUGCUCUCGGGUGACGAGCGGCGGACGGGUGAGUAAUGUCUGGGAAACUGCCUGAUGGAGGGGGAUAACUACUGGAAACGGUAGCUAAUACCGCAUAACGUCGCAAGACCAAAGUGGGGGACCUUCGGGCCUCAUGCCAUCAGAUGUGCCCAGAUGGGAUUAGCUAGUAGGUGAGGUAACGGCUCACCUAGGCGACGAUCCCUAGCUGGUCUGAGAGGAUGACCAGCCACACUGGAACUGAGACACGGUCCAGACUCCUACGGGAGGCAGCAGUGGGGAAUAUUGCACAAUGGGCGCAAGCCUGAUGCAGCCAUGCCGCGUGUGUGAAGAAGGCCUUCGGGUUGUAAAGCACUUUCAGCGGGGAGGAAGGCGUUAAGGUUAAUAACCUUGGCGAUUGACGUUACCCGCAGAAGAAGCACCGGCUAACUCCGUGCCAGCAGCCGCGGUAAUACGGAGGGUGCAAGCGUUAAUCGGAAUUACUGGGCGUAAAGCGCACGCAGGCGGUCUGUCAAGUCGGAUGUGAAAUCCCCGGGCUUAACCUGGGAACUGCAUUCGAAACUGGCAGGCUAGAGUCUUGUAGAGGGGGGUAGAAUUCCAGGUGUAGCGGUGAAAUGCGUAGAGAUCUGGAGGAAUACCGGUGGCGAAGGCGGCCCCCUGGACAAAGACUGACGCUCAGGUGCGAAAGCGUGGGGAGCAAACAGGAUUAGAUACCCUGGUAGUCCACGCCGUAAACGAUGUCGAUUUGGAGGUUGUGCCCUUGAGGCGUGGCUUCCGGAGCUAACGCGUUAAAUCGACCGCCUGGGGAGUACGGCCGCAAGGUUAAAACUCAAAUGAAUUGACGGGGGCCCGCACAAGCGGUGGAGCAUGUGGUUUAAUUCGAUGCAACGCGAAGAACCUUACCUGGUCUUGACAUCCACAGAACUUAGCAGAGAUGCUUUGGUGCCUUCGGGAACUGUGAGACAGGUGCUGCAUGGCUGUCGUCAGCUCGUGUUGUGAAAUGUUGGGUUAAGUCCCGCAACGAGCGCAACCCUUAUCCUUUGUUGCCAGCGGUCCGGCCGGGAACUCAAAGGAGACUGCCAGUGAUAAACUGGAGGAAGGUGGGGAUAACGUCAAGUCAUCAUGGCCCUUACGACCAGGGCUACACACGUGCUACAAUGGCAUAUACAAAGAGAAGCGACCUCGCGAGAGCAAGCGGACCUCAUAAAGUAUGUCGUAGUCCGGAUUGGAGUCUGCAACUCGACUCCAUGAAGUCGGAAUCGCUAGUAAUCGUAGAUCAGAAUGCUACGGUGAAUACGUUCCCGGGCCUUGUACACACCGCCCGUCACACCAUGGGAGUGGGUUGCAAAAGAAGUAGGUAGCUUAACCUUCGGGAGGGCGCUUACCACUUUGUGAUUCAUGACUGGGGUGAAGUCGUAACAAGGUAACCGUAGGGGAACCUGCGGUUGGAUCACCUCCUUA
rnacentral:rRNA from 1 species